rnacentral:rRNA from 1 species
GACGUAGGGGGCCAGCGUUGCUCGGAAUUACUGGGCGUAAAGGGUUCGUAGGCGGUGUGGCAAGUCGGGCGUGAAAUCUCUGGGCUUAACUCAGAGGCUGCUUCCGAAACUGCCGUGCUAGAGUGCGGGAGAGGCGAGUGGAAUUGCAGGUGUAGCGGUGAAAUGCGUAGAUAUCUGCAGGAACACCCGUGGCGAAGGCGGCUCGCUGGACCGCAACUGACGCUGAGGAACGAAAGCGUGGGGAGCGAACAGG